CAGGUUGAUGCCGAAUGGUUAGGCACCUCUUUUGGGAAGAGGCUCAAGCUAGUUCGAUUCUAGUCAACCUGA